rnacentral:rRNA from 1 species
ACCCUUGAGUGGGGAAUAACCUAGAGAAAUCUGGGCUAAUACCGCAUAACACCUACGGGUCAAAGGAGCAAUUCGCUUAAGGAGGGGGUCGCGGCAGAUUAGCUAGUUGGCGGGGUAAUGGCCCACCAAGGCGGUGAUCUGUAUCCGGCCUGAGAGGGCGCACGGACACACUGGAACUGAAACACGGUCCAGACUCCUACGGGAGGCAGCAGUGGGGAAUUUUGCGCAAUGGGGGAAACCCUGACGCAGCAACGCCGCGUGGAGGAUGAAGUCCCUUGGGACGUAAACUCCUUUCGAUCGGGACGAUUAUGACGGUACCGAGAGAAGAAGCCCCGGCUAACUUCGUGCCAGCAGCCGCGGUAAUACGAGGGGGGCGAGCGUUGUUCGGAAUUAUUGGGCGUAAAGGGUGCGUAGGCGGUUCGGUAAGUCUUAUGUGAAAUCUUCGGGCUCAACUCGAAGUCUGCAUGAGAAACUGCCGGGCUUGAGUGUGGGAGAGGUGAGUGGAAUUUCCGGUGUAGCGGUGAAAUGCGUAGAUAUCGGAAGGAACACCUGUGGCGAAAGCGGCUCACUGGACCACAACUGACGCU